UCGGGCAUGGUGUACGGUACACCGCCUCCUCUCCUCAUGUUGAGGGUGAAGACGUUGUACGAGGCAGAUCGGGGUUCGACUCCCCGUGUCCGAA